AUGGGAAGCUUGCUCCCGGUUGCCCUCCUAGGGCUAGGGAUCCUCCUCCAGCUCGCCGGCUGCAGCCCUCCACCGGACCCGGUGGUGUGCAUGCACGGUACGUCCAACUGCACCAUCACCAACACGUACGGCUUCUUCCUCUGCCCCGCGGCCAACAGCAUCCCCAAGCUCGCGUGCCCCGGCGGCCGCGACGGCACGAUCAUAAGCACCGCGCGGCUGAACCGGACGGUGCGCGUCGACGCCGAGAAGCGGCUCAUGACGGUGGAGAGCGGCAUGCUACUCCGGGACCUCAUCGAGGCCGCCGCCGCCGAGGGCCUGUCCCUGCCGCAUUCGCCGUACUGGUUCGGCCUGACCAUCGGUGGGCUCCUGGCGACGGGCGCGCACGGGAGCUCGUUGUGGGGGAAGGGGGGCGCUGUUCACGAGUACGUGGUCGGGCUGAGGAUCGUGACGCCGGCGCCGGCCAGCCAGGGGUUCGCCGUGGUGAGGGAGCUUGGCGCCCAUCACCCGGACCUGGACGCCGCCAAGGUCUCCAUUGGCGUCCUGGGCGUCAUCUCGCUCAGGUAA
rnacentral:rRNA from 1 species